rnacentral:rRNA from 1 species
AUUGAACGCUGGCGGGAUGCUUUACACAUGCAAGUCGAACGGAGUGGCUGACGGGUGAGUAAUAUAUCGGAACGUGCCCAGUAGCGGGGGAUAACUACUCGAAAGGGUGGCUAAUACCGCAUACUAUUUGAUGGGCCGAUAUCGGAUUAGCUAGUUGGGGGGGUAACGGCUCACCAAGGCAACGAUCCCUAGCUGGUUUGAGAGGACGACCAGCCACACUGGGGCUGAGACACGGCCCAGACUCCUGCGGGAGGCAGCAGUGGGGAAUUUUGGACAAUGGGCGAAACCCUGAUGCAGCCAUCCCGCGUGUAUGAUGAAGGCCUUCGGGUUGUAAAGUACUUUUGGCAGAGAAGCGGUACCCGCAGAAUAAGCACCGGCUAACUACGUGCCAGCAGCCGCGGUAAUUC